GCCGAGGUAGCUCAGCCUGGGAGAGCGCCCGGCUGAAGACCGGGUUGACAGCCUUAAAGCUGGCCUAAUCG
rnacentral:tRNA from 1 species